GUAGAUUGUAAAAGAAUGUGCAGAGUGGGUCAGAGCAGCAAGCUAGCUGUGUGCGGUGGAGAGCAGGGAGAUAGAAAUCCAUUUAAAAGUAGCCAUAUCUGUGUUUUCUUUAGAAAGACUAAGCGUAUUAAGCAAACACAUCAUCAAUUGCGUUUCGUAAUUCAGUUAUGUAAUACCUGCCACACAAAUGACCAGCAGCCUAGGAACCUUCUCACCCCUGCCAGAGGCACAUUAUUAGUGUGCCCGGUGGACGAGCAAGAUUUUUCUUCAACUGAGCACAGGGUGGGGACCCCAGCCCUAGGCUCCCCACUGGUAAGGCCCAUUCUAGGCCGUAAUCCACCAAGCCUCGGUCCAUCUUCAGCUCUGCUCUUUCUGUUUUCAGGCUGGGGAGGAGUUCCCCUGCAGGUUACGUACCAGUCGUUCCUGAAGAAGUCAUCCACUGGGGUCAUUAGAUGCUUUCUCUAAGGCUGGGGCUGUGCCUGGCCCAGGGCUUUUGUUGUAUGUAAGUCAGAAUUAAACCACCCCGUAAUUUGCAGCUCUCCAGGAUGGAGUCAGGCACUUAAUAGGACCCUCAGUGAGUAUCUGUUGAAUAAUUGAACAAAAGAUGACAAUAAAACUCGGAAAAGCUUUUCCUGAAGGGUCUUCAUAAAAGGGGCGCUGAGCAACAUGAUGGAUAUAUCCUUAGAAGCACCCUUACAGCGGACACUGCAAGAGUCACCAGGGACUCUUAAUUAGGGUCAGGUCAGAUCAGAGCAGGGUACAAGGGAACCCACCACGAGUAGUUCUAUCUGCACUUAUAUCCCAUUCGCCUUUCUCUCAGACUGCAAUCUCUCUUGCUGCAAGCAAAGCCCGUACCACCAUCCUCAAUAGAUUCAAAUAAUAGUCAGCUGCCAUUAGCUACCUUUAAAAAAUAUGAAAGAAAAUCAUUUUUACAGAUGUGAAAAAAUGUCAUCAAUUUGCACUAUUUGGAAGGAGGCCUUCUCAGUGAGUCCUUCCCUGGCC